CAUUCACGGAGAGUUUGAUCCUGGCUCAGGACGAACGCUGGCGGCGUGCUUAACACAUGCAAGUCGAACGAUGAACCGGUUUCGGCCGGGGAUUAGUG
rnacentral:rRNA from 1 species